rnacentral:rRNA from 1 species
AUUAAACGCUGGCGGCAUGCCUUACACAUGCAAGUCGAACGGCAGCACGGGGGCAACCCUGGUGGCGAGUGGCGGACGGGUGAGUAAAGCAUCGGAACGUAUCCUGGAGUGGGGGAUAACGUAGCGAAAGUUACGCUAAUACCGCAUAUUCUGUGAGCAGGAAAGCAGGGGAUCGCAAGACCUUGCGCUCUGGGAGCGGCCGAUGUCGGAUUAGCUAGUUGGUGGGGUAAAGGCCUACCAAGGCGACGAUCCGUAGCGGGUCUGAGAGGAUGAUCCGCCACACUGGGACUGAGACACGGCCCAGACUCCUACGGGAGGCAGCAGUGGGGAAUUUUGGGACAAUGGGCGCAAGCCUGAUCCAGCCAUGCCGCGUGAGUGAAGAAGGCCU